UACAGAGGCCCCGAGCGUUAGGCGGAAUCACUGGGCUUAAAGCGUGUGUAGGCGGAUGCCUAAGUACCUUGUGAAAUCCCACGGCUUAACCGUGGAAUUGCUGGGUAUACUGGGUGUCUUGAGCCACUCAGGGGCUACCGGAACAAAUGGUGGAGCGGUGAAAUGCGUAGAUAUCAUUUGGAACGCCAAUGGUGAAAACAGGUAGCUGGGGGUGUGCUGACACUGAGACACGAAAGCCAGGGGAGCAAACGGG
rnacentral:rRNA from 1 species